UUGAUUCACCAACGGUUACCACAACAUUAAAGAAUUUGGGCGCAUUAUACCGCAGGCAAGGUAUGUUUGAAGCAGCAGAAACAUUGGAAGAUUGCGCCCUACGUAGCAAAAAAGAAGCACUGGAUAUGGCGAAACAAAAUAAGAAAAUGCAUAAAUAAGGAACCAUGCAACAUUCUAACUGGCUGACGAUGGAUAAUUUUCUGUGACAACUAAUGUGGAAUCAUUCCAUCAUGUCUAUAAAUUCUUCUAAAAUACAAAAUAAAAUAUAUUCCGUAAUAUGUAACAUAUGAAAA
rnacentral:sRNA from 1 species